rnacentral:rRNA from 1 species
UAGGGAAUCUUCCACAAUGGACGCAAGUCUGAUGGAGCAACGCCGCGUGAGUGAAGAAGGUUUUCGGACCGUAAAGCUCUGUUGUUGGUGAAGAAGGAUAGAGGUAGUAACUGGCCUUUAUUUGACGGUAAUCAACCAGAAAGUCACGGCUAACUACGUGCCAGCAGCCGCGGUAAUACGUAGGUGGCAAGCGUUGUCCGGAUUUAUUGGGCGUAAAGCGAGCGCAGGCGGAAGAAUAAGUCUGAUGUGAAAGCCCUCGGCUUAACCGAGGAAUUGCAUCGGAAACUGUUUUCUUGAGUGCAGAAGAGGAGAGUAGAACUCCAUGUGUAGCGGUGGAAUGCGUAGAUAUAUGGAAGAAUACCAGUGGCGAAGGCGGCUCUCUGGUCUGCAACUGACGCUGAGGCUCGAAAGCAUGGGUAGCGAACAGGAUUAGAUACCCUGGUAGUCCCAUGCCGUAAACGAUGAGUGCUAAGUGUUGGGAGGCUUCCGCCUCUCAGUGCUGCCAGCUAACGCAUUAAGCA